rnacentral:rRNA from 1 species
UACGUAGGGGGGCUAGCGUUGUCCGGAAUCAUUGGGCGUAAAGAGCGUGUAGGCGGCCAGACAGGUCCGUUGUGAAAACUGGAGGCUUAACCUUCAGACGUCGAUGGAAACCGUCUGGCUAGAGUCCGGAAGAGGAGAGUGGAAUUCCUGGUGUAGCGGUGAAAUGCGCAGAUAUCUGGAGGAACACCGGUGGCGAAGGCGACAUCCUGGACCGGUAUUGACGCUGAGGCGCGAAAGCCAGGGGAGCAAACGGG